UCCUGGCUCAGGAUGAACGCUAGCUACAGGCUUAACACAUGCAAGUCGAGGGGCAGCAUGAAGUUGCUUGCAAACUUGAUGGCGACCGGCGCACGGGUGAGUAACGCGUAUCCAACUUCCCCUUAGUAGGGCAUAGCCCGAUGAAAAUCGGAUUAAUACCCUAUGUUGUCUUAUGAGGACAUCUGAGCAGGACCAAAGGUUUACCGCUAAGGGAUGGGGAUGCGUCCGAUUAGGUAGUCGGCGGGGUAACGGCCCACCGAGCCAUCGAUCGGUAGGGGUUCUGAGAGGAAGGUCCCCCACAUUGGAACUGAGACACGGUCCAAACUCCUACGGGAGGCAGCAGUGAGGAAUAUUGGUCAAUGGGCGAGAGCCUGAACCAGCCAAGUAGCGUGCCAGGAUGACGGCCCUAUGGGUUGUAAACUGCUUUUAUGCGGGGAUAAAGUGCGCCACGUGUGGCGUUUUGUAGGUACCGCAUGAAUAAGGACCGGCUAAUUCCGUGCCAGCCGCUGC
rnacentral:rRNA from 1 species